rnacentral:rRNA from 1 species
GACAGAGGGGGCAAGCGUUGCUCGGAAUUACUGGGCGUAAAGGGCGCGUAGGCGGGAUGGCAAGUCGGUCGUGAAAUCCUUCGGCUCAACCGAAGAACGUCGAUCGAUACUGCUGUUCUUGAGGAUUGCAGAGGAGACUGGAAUUCCCGGUGUAGCGGUGAAAUGUGUAGAGAUCGGGAGGAACACCGGUGGCGAAGGCGGGUCUCUGGGCAAUUCCUGACGCUGAGGCGCGAAAGCGUGGGGAGCAAAUGGG